AUUGAACGCUGGCGGCAGGCUUAACACAUGCAAGUCGAGCGAGCGGCGGACGGGUGAGUAAUGACUGGGAAACUGCCUGAUGGAGGGGGAUCACUACUGGAAACGGUAGCUAAUACCGCAUACCAUCAGAUGGGCCCAGAUGGGAUUAGCGAGUAGGUGGGGUAAUGGCUCACCUAGGAGACGAUCCCUAGCUGGUCUGAGAGGAUGACCAGCCACACUGGAACUGGAACAGGGUCCAGACUCCUACGGGAGGCAGCAGUGGGGGAUAUUGGACAGUGGGCGCAAGCCUGAUGCAGCCAUGCCGCGUGUGUGAAGAAGGCCUUCGGGUUGUAAAGCACUUUCAGCGGGGAGGCGUUACUCGCAGAAGAAGCACCGGCUAACUCCGUGCCAGCAGCCGCGGUAAUUC
rnacentral:rRNA from 1 species